AGCGAACGUUAGCGGCGGGCCUAACACAUGCAAGUCGAGCGAGAAAAGGGCUUCGGCCCUGAGUAAAGCGGCGGACGGGUGAGUAACACGUAGGUAAUCUUCCCUUGAGCGGGGGACAACGAGCCGAAAGGCUCGCUAAUACCGCAUACGUUUCCAGAGGCCCCGGUCUUUGGAAGGAAAGCUAGGCCGCAAGGUCCGGCACUCGAGGAGGAGCCUGCGUCGCAUCAGCUAGUUGGUGGGGUAACGGCCUACCAAGGCGAAGACGCGUAGCUGGUCUGAGAGGAUGAGCAGCCACACUGGGACUGAGACACGGCCCAGACUCCUACGGGAGGCAGCAGUGGGGGAUAUUGGACAAUGGGCGCAAGCCUGAUCCAGCCACGCCGCGUGAGUGAUGAAGGCCUUCGGGUCGUAAAGCUCUGUGGGGAGGGACGAACCGCUGCACGUUCAUAGCGUGCAGCAUGACGGUACCUCCUUAGCAAGCACCGGCUAACUUCGUGCCAGCCGCCGCCGUAACAC
rnacentral:rRNA from 1 species